AUGCCCCCGGCCCGUCCUGCUGCUCACCUCCUCCUCACAUAUGCAUCAACAAAACAUGGCAGCCGCUGCAGUCCACAUCGUUCAACAGUAGCAGGUCAACUCCUCCAAGGUCACACAAGCUCGCCGCCAAAAGCCCACGGUCUAUUGAGCCAGAGAUGGCACUGGACGCUGCCGUGGCCGGUCAUCUGGAUCGGAGCCACCAACCCACGUCCGCAUAGAGGGGGCUGCUGCAGGGAGCGUCGACUUGCAGCUGGAGGAGGUGUCGACCUAAAGCUCGCCACCCACGGCACUAUGACCUACUGCCACAACGGUCCACCACCUACAGCCGGCGCCGCAGCGCCUCGGCCGUUCAACUAUGCCACCUCAGGCCGUUCAACUAUGUCCCCCGCAAUCGUCGACUCCAUUUGCUUCUUUCCGCUGUACGUGGCCAGCUCCAUGAGCUACUCGCCUCUACUCUGUUUAGAAGAGCGUCGUGAGCUCGUCCAACUAUGGCUGCUUCUCUGCUGUGUCAUGCCGUUAAAUAAUGCCAUGCAAUCAUCAGGUGAAAACCUGCAGGUGACAACUCCAGUUGUGGCCAUUUCUGCUCGGGCAGAUCCCACUCCUGUUGAGAAUAGCAGCACACAAAAGGCUCAAGUUGUCGAUUAG
rnacentral:rRNA from 1 species